AUGUCACCUAUGAGAGUAAGUGUCAUCAUUUUCACUUCAAAAUUUGAACCCAGACUGAGUCACCAAUCAUGUUUUACAGGCUUUUGUCAAAAUUCUAAAAUUACCAUUUCCAUCCAAACAGAAAUCUCAGAAACCUCCUAUGCUGUGGUCUUUACAUUUAACGUGAUUAACAUCAGCAUGCCAGAGGACCCUGUGUCUAGAGGCAACACCAGCCAGAAAGUUCAGGAUACCAUCAAUAAUGCGCUGAACACUCUUCUGAAUGAACCUGGCAGUCCAACUUUACAACCCAAGACCUCCAACUUCACGAGCACUUCAAACCAGAUUAAUGGCAGGAUGGGAUACAGCUUCCAGAAUGGAGAUGUCAUACAACCAGUCAGCUUCCUCUAUGAGCUACGUCUACCAACCACUACAACAGUGUUUCCAGUCACAACAACCAGUGUUUCUGUUACUACUCCAAAACUCAUAUCUGGUUCAGCAGUGGUCACAAGCAAGCUGGUGUUCAACUCCUCAUCUCCAGUGCCCAGUGAAUCUCUGGUCCUCAGUGCUAUCAAUACUCUCCGUCAUUCCAGAGAGUCACAGCUCAAUGAAUCGGUGAAGAUAGUGAAUGUCACCUAUGAGAAAAUCUCCGAAACUUCCUAUGCUGUGGUCUUUACAUUUAACUUGAUUAACAUCAGCAUGCCAGAGGACCCUGUGUCUAGAGAACAAACCACCCAGCAAGUGCAGGAUACCAGCAAUAAUGCGCUGAACACUCUUUUGAAUGAACCCGGUAGUCCAAAUUUACAACCCAAUACCUCCAACUUCAAGAUCACUUCAAACCAGAUUGAAGGUAGGAUGGAAUACAACUUCCAGAAUGGAGAUGUCAUACAACCAGUCAGCUUCCUCAAUGAGCUUCGUUCACAGACAGUCUUAACGACUGCCAGCACUGUGACAACUACUCCACUGAUAGUGCGAGGCAAAGCGCUUAUAUUCAUUCGCCUCGUAUUUGUCACACUGGGCCCCCUGCCAAAUCCAGAGAAGGUUCUUGAUGUGGCCAACACUCUUCUGAAGACGCGUCUCGCAACUAAACAAGACACUACAACACAAGACCUGAGUGAUCCUGUGAGCUUUGUCAACGUCACAUAUACAAAAAUAAAUGAGACGGCCUAUGCUCUUGACUUUGGAUUUGAAAUCAGCAAUAUAACCAUGACUGAGAAGCUUGAACUCAGGAAUGGCACCCACCUGUUAAUACAAGACUCUAUAAACACAUUGCUGGGCAAGAUCCUCCUCAGUAACUCCUCAGCUCCUAUCAUUAAGUUCCAAGCAGCUGAUUUCACGGGCAAUUCCACAGUAAUUAAGGCCAAUGUAGAGUAUGUUUUCUCACCAAGUGAUAUCACGCAACCCAGCAUCUUUGUUCAGGAACUUAUCCAACUUAGCGAAGCGAGCACUACAACUUCCCCACCAAACUUGAUUAAGAGGGCGAUUAUUAAGAUCCGUCUCGAGUUUAUCACACUUGGAACAAGACCAAGUGAGAGUGAUGUUCUUCAGGUGGUUAAAUCUGUGGUGGCCACAAAUCUCACAACUAAACUAACCACGAGAGUAACAAUCAUGAGUGAACCUGUGACCUUGGAGAAUGUUGAGUAUUUGGGAAUUAAUGACACCGCCUACGCACUCAUUUUUACAUUUGAAAUGAACAAAGUAUCACUGACAGCGACACAAAGUCAAGAAGCCUAUAACGAAAUCCAAAAGAAGAUAAAUUAUUUGGUGUUCCAGAUACUAAAGGACCCCUCGGUUAAUCUGUCCAUCCCAGCCAAUUUCACGGAGAGUGACGUUUUGAUUGUGGCCAAUGUUACGUAUGUUUUCUCACAAAAUAACAACAACACGGCCUCCGGGUUCUUGGUCAGUGCCCUUUUCAAGGCUUUUACUACACCAGCUCCAACCACCAUAAGCACUACAACCUCCAACAAUGGUACAAAUGCAGCUUGGGUUGUGGCUAUUAUUGUCCCCUGUGCUAUUAUCCUCGGGCUUGUUCCUUGCUGGAUUCUCCUUUGCUGUUUGCUGUGUGGUUGCUGUGCGGCAAUCAGAAGACGUUGGCACAGAAGACAGUCGUACAACGUGCAGUACACCACUCGAAACAGUCUCUUCUAG
rnacentral:lncRNA from 1 species